rnacentral:rRNA from 1 species
CCUACGGGUGGCUGCAGUGGGGAAUAUUGGACAAUGGGGGGAACCCUGAUCCAGCCAUGCCGCGUGUGUGAAGAAGGCCCUCGGGUUGUAAAGCACUUUCAGUGAGGAAGAACGCCUGGUGGUUAAUACCCAUCAGGAAAGACAUCACUCACAGAAGAAGCACCGGCUAACUCCGUGCCAGCAGCCGCGGUAAUACGGAGGGUGCGAGCGUUAAUCGGAAUUACUGGGCGUAAAGCGCGCGUAGGUGGCUUGAUAAGCCGGUUGUGAAAGCCCCGGGCUCAACCUGGGAACGGCAUCCGGAACUGUCAAGCUAGAGUGCAGGAGAGGAAGGUAGAAUUCCCGGUGUAGCGGUGAAAUGCGUAGAGAUCGGGAGGAAUACCAGUGGCGAAGGCGGCCUUCUGGACUGACACUGGCACUGAGGUGCGAAAGCGUGGGUAGCAAACAGGAUUAGAUACCCCAGUAGUC